CGCGUAGGCGGUUUGUUAAGUCGGAUGUGAAAGCCCCGGGCUCAACCUGGGAAUUGCACCCGAUACUGGCCGACUAGAGUGCAGGAGAGGGAGGUAGAAUUCCACGUGUAGCGGUGAAAUGCGUAGAUAUGUGGAGGAAUACCGGUGGCGAAGGCGGCCUCCUGGCCUGACACUGACGCUGAGGUGCGAAAGCGUGGGGAGCAAACA
rnacentral:rRNA from 1 species